CCUACGGGAGGCAGCAGUGAGGAAUAUUGGUCAAUGGCCGGAAGGCUGAACCAGCCAUGCCGCGUGGGUGAAGAAGCGCCUCGGCGCGUAAAGCCCUGUCAGCAGGGAAGAAAAUGACGGUACCUGAAGAAGAAGCCCCGGCUAACUACGUGCCAGCAGCCGCGGUAAUACGUAGGGGGCAAGCGUUAUCCGGAUUUACUGGGUGUAAAGGGAGCGUAGACGGCGAUGCAAGUCUGAAGUGAAAGGCGGGGGCCCAACCUCCGGACUGCUUUGGAAACUGUAUGGCUGGAGUGCAGGAGAGGUAAGUGGAAUUCCUAGUGUAGCGGUGAAAUGCGUAGAUAUUAGGAGGAACACCAGUGGCGAAGGCGGCUUACUGGACUGUAACUGACGUUGAGGCUCGAAAGCGUGGGGAGCAAACAGGAUUAGAUACCCGUGUAGUC
rnacentral:rRNA from 1 species